UAUCCUCGUUUGUUAAUCUUACUUUGCUCUCGUGUUCCUUCUUUCUCACCUUAAACAACCUCGACGUUUCUCCUACAUACACCGCUUUCUUGCACUUGCAUGGGAUCUCGUAAACAACAGAUUUUUGUUUUUCGCCAAGUGGCGAGGUUGUUUAAGGUGAGAAAGAAGGAACACGAGAGCAAAGUAAGAUUAACAAACGAGGAUAU
rnacentral:sRNA from 1 species